UACGAAGGGGGCUAGCGUUGUUCGGAAUUACUGGGCGUAAAGCGCGUGUAGGCGGGCCGUUAAGUCGGGGGUGAAAGCCCAGAGCUCAACUCUGGAAUUGCCUUCGAUACUGGCGGCCUGGAGCAUGAUAGAGGCAAGUGGAAUUGCGAGUGUAGAGGUGAAAUUCGCAGAGAUUCGCAGGAACACCGGUGGCGAAGGCGACUUGCUGGAUCAUUGCUGACGAUGAGACGCGAAAGCGUGGGGAGCAAACAGG
rnacentral:rRNA from 1 species